GUUGGCGAACAAACUCGAUCCCGGAUUCCCCCUCUCUCUCCCUCUCCACGUUAUAAUUCGCAAGGAUUUUCUCCGUUGGGUGUUUCCACGUGGCCAGCCAGACGGAGACGCGUUCGUUAAGCCUGCAACUGUGACCGAGGAAGAGGAGGAUCCGCACGCAGGCUACCCGGGGGACCAUGUGGUGCGAGUCACAUCAGAAGACUCCUUUACCCGAAAUUUACGACUGUCCUGGUAACAACCGGAAGCUUUCCAGCUUCGCAUAACCAGCCUUUUUCCCUUUCUCACCAGCGAGAAAGUCGCGCGAUCGUUUACGGGUCUCGGAACGUAAAUAGUUACCGUUUCGGUUGUCGUAACCUUGCUCGUUUCGUUCCGCAUCUCUAAAUCACCUUCAAUCGAGCACGGCUACCGUGUCCGUAGCAGUCGGUGUUGUACUUCUGAACGGUGAUUACGAGCUGUGCGAUUGUCGCGAACAAAGGUGCCUAGUGAACGCGAAGGAGCACCCAUGGCUUCACCCCCUGCAGCGAUGGUCAUCUUCUACAGCACUUCCUGCUGGAAUUCUGGUUCA